rnacentral:rRNA from 1 species
UACAGAGGUCUCAAGCGUUGUUCGGAUUCAUUGGGCGUAAAGGGUGCGUAGGCGGCGCGGUAAGUCGGGUGUGGAAUUUCGAGGCUUAACUUCGAAACUGCAUUCGAUACUGCCGUGCUUGAGGACUGGAGAGGAGACUGGAAUUUACGGUGUAGCGGUGAAAUGCGUAGAUAUCGUAAGGAAGACCAGUGGCGAAGGCGGGUCUCUGGACAGUUCCUGACGCUGAGGCACGAAGGCCAGGGGAGCAAACGGG